GACGAACGCUGGCGGCAUGCCUAAUACAUGCAAGUCGAACGCUGAAGCACUCUGCUUGCAGAGUGCGGAUGAGUGGCGAACGGGUGAGUAACACGUGGGAAAUCUGCCUAUAAGAGGGGGAUAACAUUCGGAAACGGAUGCUAAUACCGCAUAUAUUCUUGGACCGCCUGGUCCUUGAAAGAAAGACGGCUUUGCUGUCGCUUAUAGAUGAUCCCGCGGCGUAUUAGUUAGUUGGUGGGGUAAAGGCCUACCAAGACAAUGAUACGUAGCCGACCUGAGAGGGUGAUCGGCCACACUGGGACUGAGACACGGCCCAGACUCCUACGGGAGGCAGCAGUAGGGAAUCUUCCACAAUGGGCGAAAGCCUGAUGGAGCAAUGCCGCGUGAAUGAAGAAGGUCUUCGGAUCGUAAAGUUCUGUUAUUAGAGAAGAACAAGUCAAGGAGUAACUGUCUUGACUUUGACGGUACCUAACCAGAAAGACACGGCUAACUACGUG
rnacentral:rRNA from 1 species